ACAUUUUUUUCCAGGCAAAAAAAAACGAUGUUAUAAAAAAAACAAGUGUGGGUACACUCGGCAAAAUGUGUGUUGUGUGCAUGCAUGUGAAAGUCAAUGUGAGUGCUGUGAAUGUGUGAAAUGCCCCAAAAUUUAUGUGUGUGUAAGUGAAAAUAACCUGAGGACAAGCAGGCUGAAGAUCGCAGGAGGGACACAGGAGGGACCCAGGAACUGGACAAGCCUCUUCUUUGCAGGAUCCGUGACAAGCGCUACAUCAACAGCUGGGACAUCCUGCACUGGUCUCUUGUCAGCCUAUGGGUUCUUGGACUCUCCC